rnacentral:rRNA from 1 species
UACGUAGGGUGCGAGCGUUGUCCGGAAUUAUUGGGCGUAAAGAGCUCGUAGGCGGCUUGUCGCGUCGACUGUGAAAACCCACGGCUCAACUGUGGGCUUGCAGUCGAUACGGGCAGGCUAGAGUUCGGUAGGGGAGACUGGAAUUCCUGGUGUAGCGGUGAAAUGCGCAGAUAUCAGGAGGAACACCGGUGGCGAAGGCGGGUCUCUGGGCCGAUACUGACGCUGAGGAGCGAAAGCGUGGGGAGCGAACAGG